UCCCUCAUAGCUCAGUUGGUAAAGAAUCUGCCUGCAAUGCAGGAGACCCGGGUUCGAUUCCUGGGUUGGGAA
rnacentral:tRNA from 1 species